UACGUAGGGUGCAAGCGUUGUCCGGAAUUAUUGGGCGUAAAGAGCUCGUAGGCGGUCUGUCACGUCGGCUGUGAAAACCCGAGGCUCAACCUCGGGCCUGCAGUCGAUACGGGCAGACUAGAGUUCGGUAGGGGAGACUGGAAUUCCUGGUGUAGCGGUGAAAUGCGCAGAUACUCGAGGAAGACACCGAUGGCGAAGGCAGGUCACUGGGCCGCAACUGACGCUGAGGAGCGAAAGCAUGGGGAGCGAACAGG
rnacentral:rRNA from 1 species